rnacentral:rRNA from 1 species
UACGUAGGGCGCAAGCGUUGUCCGGAAUUAUUGGGCGUAAAGAGCUCGUAGGCGGCUUGUCACGUCGGAUGUGAAAGCCCGGGGCUUAACUCCGGGUCUGCAUUCGAUACGGGCUGGCUAGAGUGUGGUAGGGGAGAUCGGAAUUCCUGGUGUAGCGGUGAAAUGCGCAGAUAUCAGGAGGAACACCGGUGGCGAAGGCGGCCUUCUGGACCAAUACUGACGCUCAUGCACGAAAGCGUGGGGAGCAAACAGG